rnacentral:lncRNA from 1 species
AAACAACCAGCAUAAACAAGGUAAUGUUAUUUUCCUUACAUGGUUAAAAGAGAAGAGACUUCUUUAUUAUACUAAAACAGGUUUAGCAGAAUCUCUUCUUUUAUAGAAAAAUUGGACCACUUUAAAGUUUAGUUGGAUAAUGGAACACCUAUAAGGAAAGUAACUUUGAAAUGACAAAUCAACUUUUGUUCUGUUUAUGCUUUUUUCAGCCUUUUCUUUUGCCUAGAAAACCAACCUACCCUGCUCAGUUAAUGAAAACACUCAUUCUAUUGUGUAGAAUGAGGUGUUGCCUGAUUUUAGAAUUGGAGAUAGAAACCAAUUAGAUCUUUAAGCUAAAUUUGUUGUAAUUUCACCUUUUGACACAUACAUCUGAUACAUAUACAUCUGAUACAUUCUUAAUACAUAUGCAAUAUGUAUAAAGAGCUCAAACAACUCAAUAGUAAGAAAACAAUAAGCUGAUUAAAAAAUGGACAAGAACUUAAAUAUACAUUUCUCA